UACGUAGGGUGCGAGCGUUAAUCGGAAUUACUGGGCGUAAAGCGUGCGCAGGCGGUUCGUUGUGUCUGCUGUGAAAUCCCCGGGCUCAACCUGGGAAUGGCAGUGGAAACUGGCGAGCUUGAGUGUGGCAGAGGGGGGUGGAAUUCCGCGUGUAGCAGUGCACUGCGUAGAGAUGCGGAGGAACACCGAUGGCGAAGGCAACCCCCUGGGCUGACACUGCCGCUCAGGCGCGAAAGCGUGGGGAGCCAACAGU
rnacentral:rRNA from 1 species